AGAAUGACUGACUGUAAGUCACUUUGGAUGAGAGUGUCUGCUAAAUGACAAAUU
rfam:Salmo salar isolate Sally breed double haploid chromosome ssa03, whole genome shotgun sequence.